GCCUAACACAUGCAAGUCGAACGAAGUAGCAAUACUUCAGUGGCAGACGGGUGAGUAACAUGUGGGUAUCUGCCCUUUGGCCUGGAAUAACACGAGGAAACUUGUGCUAAUACCGGAUAAGUCUUUACGGAGAAAGCUUUAUGCACCAUUGGAUGAGCCCGCACUUGAUUAGUUAGUUGGUAGGGUAAUGGCCUACCAAGACUGUGAUCAAUAGCUGAUUUGAGAGGAUGAUCAGCCACAUUGGGACUGAGACACGGCCCAAACUCCUACGGGAGGCAGCAGUGGGGAAUCUUGCACAAUGGAGGAAACUCUGAUGCAGCGAUGCCGCGUGAGUGAAGAAGGCCCUUGGGUUGUAAAGCUCUUUCGUCGGGGAAGAAAAUGACUGUACCCGAAUAAGAAGGUCCGGCUAACUUCGUGCCAGCAGCCGCGGUAAUACGAAGGGACCUAGCGUAGUUCGGAAUUACUGGGCUUAAAGAGUUCGUAGGUGGUUGAAAAAGUUGGUGGUGAAAUCCCAGAGCUUAACUCUGGAACUGCCAUCAAAACUUUUCAGCUAGAGUAUGAUAGAGGAAAGCAGAAUUUCUAGUGUAGAGGUGAAAUUCGUAGAUAUUAGAAAGAAUACCAAUUGCGAAGGCAGCUUUCUGGAUCAUUACUGACACUGAGGAACGAAAGCAUGGGUAGCGAAGAGGAUUAGAUACCCUCGUAGUCCAUGCCGUAAACGAUGUGUGUUAGACGUUGGAAAUUUAUUUUCAGUGUCGCAGCGAAAGCGAUAAACACACCGCCUGGGGAGUACGACCGCAAGGUUA
rnacentral:rRNA from 1 species